GCGAUUUUUGGCCCAAUUGAGUUUUUAAUCAUUGUGAGAAAAACGCUUGCAAAGUCACGCGAAUUUUCAUCUCUUAAUUUUUAGGGUUUCCCUUCAAAACAGGGUAUCUUUGAAAGUUUAAAGACUAAAAUAAACUAAAAAGAAAUAAAAAAAUACUUUUUGAACAGCCCUUCUCAGCUUCCACGAUAAUCAUUUCCCAAAAAUCUAUAUUUAGAAUAAAUACACUGUGUAAACUCAGGAGUCAGGUCAGCGAGUAAACACAUGUAGAUUCACUACCUUUUACGUCAUGUUACUGCAUAUUUGGAGGUUUAAAUAAAUAUUAAGGUCUGACAGCCAACAUACAUUUAAGAUCUUCAACUUAGUUCAUCAGAGUUUUGAAGUAGAUAAUAUGAUUAUCCAGCAUGUUGGAGCCAUUUUCUUCAAGGAAAUGUACUGAACACAUAGAUAGUUCACCUAUUUGCUGAUGAAUAUACUAAACUAUUGUUGGAAAUGAGGCACAAUGUGUGACAUAGUUCUAUGCACUUUGAGCACCAGGGUUAUGGAGUAAAAAAGACAACUACUUGUAUCAACUGUACUGUAUUGGUCAAGAUAAACACUUC